CACCGCGGUUAUACGAGAGACCCAAGUUGACAGCCAGCGGCGUAAAGCGUGGUUAAGUUUAAAAUUAAUACUAAAGCCGAAUGAGCACAAAGCUGUUAUACGCAUUCGAAACCAGAAGCCCAAUCACGAAAGUAGCUUUACGUUAACUGAACCCACGAAAGCUAGGAUA
rnacentral:rRNA from 1 species